UAUGGCCCACCAUUAAUUUUGAAAAGAUGGAGGGAAAAAAUAAGAGACCCAUGGUUUGACUUAACGAGUCUCUUAUAUAUGUAAGGGCCCACCACUUUAGCAACUUUUUUUUUUCUUUGGGUUAACAGCAAAACCCUAUCUCUUGUCAUUUUCCAUCACCACAUCCCAUAUUCCCAUUCACGCCGCUCUCUCCUCUUCUCUCCUCUCCUAUCAUCUUCUAUUUCUCCUGGAGCAAAAACACGUUAUUGCCAUCUCCUUUUGAGCGUCGGUGUCGCUUCCUCCUCCUCCACAAUGCCCGCGUCGUUUCCUCCUCCUCCUCGAUGUCGGCGUUGCCUCCUCUUUCUACUUAACACCGCCGUCGUUGCUGCGCCUUAUUUUAUUUCAUCACUGUCAAUAAAGCCUAAUUUAAGGCUUUCAAGAUCAAUUUUUACCAUGAAAUUUCAAAUCUGGAGUUUUCUUGGUUAAUUUGGCUAAAUAACCAAAAUUGAAGUGUUUAAAAAGUUGUAGAAUUUGACGAGAUGUGGUGGAGCUUUGAUUGAGUUGCCUCAAUUUCAUACUCCCAAUGACUCCAAGCAGAUGCUUUCAGGAAGGAAAUUCAUUUUGAGCUCUUAUGAAGGAUUAAAUUUGGUCUUUUUCCUUAAAAAAAGGUAAGUUUCUUAUGAUGAAUUUGGGUGAAUUGUAGAUGCAGUGUCGAGGUAAGAGGAAGCUUUGGAGAUUAAUCCUAAAAAAUUGACACAGCGUGGUGUUUGGAAAAUGCUCAUACAACACAUGCUUUUAUGGUUCUUGACAUUGAUGAGGCUCGACCUUACUUUGAGAAGGCUGCUGACUUCUUUCAACAAGUUGUUGGUCUACUUGCAAAACACAAAACUCCCAAAUACAGAGGUAGCAAAUGGAGUACUGAAGUCGUCUUGAAUUAAUUGUAAAUAUGAAUUUUAAUAAAUUCAACCAAUUAUUUGUUGGGAUUUUAUGUUCUAAGCUAUGCCCCCAAGUUAUUGAAAAUCUAAGCUGUACCCAUGUUUUUUCAAAGUUAUAAGUUGUGCCCUCCACUUCACGGUAUUUUAUCAAUAAUACCCUUUGACAACCAUAUAUGUUAACGAAAGCUAAGUUAUUUUA